rnacentral:lncRNA from 11 species
AGGAAGGCCCGUCCAGGCAGUACCUUUAUCCCAGGAACUCCCGCAGCAAUCAGGAGAGACGCUGUUCCUUGUAAACCUGGAAACAAUUGCUACAAAAGUGCUGACUUGGGCAGAAGUGGUCCUACCCCAUUAGGUUUGUUUGUGUGGCAGAUACUUCAUGAAACGUUUGGAGGGCACAGUUUUUCUGGCCAGGACAAAGAACAGAACUUUUGCAGAGAUCCACAUUUCUGUAUAUCUGCAUCUCGGGGGCUUUAAAAAAAAAUGCUGAGGUUUCCGUCAGAAGUCCCGCGCCGCCCAUUUUGGGUGCCUUUAAAUCUCAGAAUAAAGAAGCAAGUCUGGACAAC